rnacentral:rRNA from 1 species
GACGAACGCUGGCGGCGUGCCUAAUACAUGCAAGUCGAGCGGAUCCUUCGGGAUUAGCGGCGGACGGGUGAGUAACACGUAGGCAACCUGCCUGCAAGACUGGGAUAACCUUCGGAAACGGAUGCUAAUACCAGAUAAACGGCUUCUCCGCAUGGAGAGGCCGGGAAAGACGGAGCAAUCUGUCACUUGCAGAUGGGCCUGCGGCGCAUUAGCUAGUUGGUGGGGUAACGGCUCACCAAGGCGACGAUGCGUAGCCGACCUGAGAGGGUGAUCGGCCACACUGGGACUGAGACACGGCCCAGACUCCUACGGGAGGCAGCAGUAGGGAAUCUUCCGCAAUGGACGAAAGUCUGACGGAGCAACGCCGCGUGAGUGAGGAAGGCCUUCGGGUCGUAAAGCUCUGUUGCCAGGGAAGAAUGUUGCGGGGAGUAACUGCCCUGUGAAUGACGGUACCUGAGAAGAAAGCCCCGGCUAACUACGUGCCAGCCGCCGCCGUAACAC